GACGAACGCUGGCGGCGUGCUUAACACAUGCAAGUCGAACGGAAAGGCCCUGCUUUUGUGGGGUGCUCGAGUGGCGAACGGGUGAGUAACACGUGAGUAACCUGCCCUUGACUUUGGGAUAACUUCAGGAAACUGGGGCUAAUACCGGAUAGGAGCUCCUGCUGCAUGGUGGGGGUUGGAAAGUUUCGGCGGUUGGGGAUGGACUCGCGGCUUAUCAGCUUGUUGGUGGGGUAGUGGCUUACCAAGGCUUUGACGGGUAGCCGGCCUGAGAGGGUGACCGGCCACAUUGGGACUGAGAUACGGCCCAGACUCCUACGGGAGGCAGCAGUGGGGAAUAUUGCACAAUGGGCGGAAGCCUGAUGCAGCAACGCCGCGUGCGGGAUGACGGCCCUCGGGUUGUAAACCGCUUUCGCCUGUGACGAAGCGUGAGUGACGGCAAUGGGUAAAGAAGCACCGGCUAACUACGUG
rnacentral:rRNA from 1 species